ACACACACACACACACACACACACUGCGGAUGAGAGGCCAUCACACAUCAUUCUUUCUCUCUCUCUCUCUCUCACACACACACACACACACACACACACACACACACCUCAGCUCGUCUGGAGGGAGAGCAGCGGACCUGCUGGAUCCAGAUCACGGAUACAAACACACAGAGGAUUUCUGAUCCACAGCCUCGAGGCACCGUGUGGGAUUUAUCGAUCCGAUCCACGCGCUCACCUGUUCGUCAGCGCGAGGCUGCCACGGAGAAACUCCUGCACAUCUGGAGCCCGGGUGACGCUGCCCGCCGUCCUCAGCAUCACAUGUGGAUGUUUUCAUCAUCAGGCGUCUCACACGACGUGGAGGAAGCUGCAGUCUUACACUUUCGCUGCAAACAGCGGAGCCUGUUCCUGUCUUUGGUUAUCUAGCUGUAUGAGUGUUAAUCAUCCAUCAUAAAGCUAGAUAACCGAAAGUAGGAAUGACCUCCAAACCUUCGACUUCCUGCAUUCGCGCGAUUCAACAGAAAGAAAAACACACUCGCAGGAGGACACAAAGUCUUUUCAGAAGAGGACCAGGAUGAAGCUGAUGCCACCACGCUGUGGAGGAUCUCCGGAGCUUCUGUCAGUGUGAUAAUGGCUGAUAAUCACUGGAGCAUCAGUGAAAGUGUCGUCUGCCACGUGGACUUCAGAUGUAACUUGCAGUUUAAUAUGAUAUCACAUGCAGAGAGGGGGUUGUGUGGCCAGCGCACCAAUCGGCGACGCCUUAGCCUGCUCAGUCAUCCUGGUUCCACAUUCUUCACUUAUAUUUGAUAGAAUCUACUUGUAUCAGAUAUUCUGUCAAUGUGAUUUGUCUACUCUUUGACCUCUGUGACUCUUCCUGAGGUGAUUAAUAUCCUGACACUGACCUUUUGCAUUAAAACAGCAGGUUUUUAAAAGGAAUAUCUGUAAUAAAAAAAAAAAAAAAAAAGUUUUUUUUGGCAUUGAAGAUCAUCCAAGACAUGCAGAAGAAAUGUUCUUUUCUCUUUGCUAAAUAAAAUGAAUG